UGUAGGAGUGAGCCUGCUCGCGAUGGCGGUAUGUCAGCUAAAAAUUUAUUGACUGAUACACCGCUAUCGCGAGCAGGCUCACUCCUACA
rnacentral:misc_RNA from 1 species